rnacentral:rRNA from 1 species
UACGUAGGGGGCGAGCGUUGUCCGGAAUCAUUGGGCGUAAAGCGCGUGUAGGCGGCCCGCUAAGUCCGCUGUGAAAGUCCAGGGCUCAACCCUGGGAUGCCGGUGGAUACUGUCGGGCUCGAGUCCGGAAGAGGCGAGUGGAAUUCCUGGUGUAGCGGUGAAAUGCGCAGAUAUCAGGAGGAACACCAAUGGCGAAGGCAGCUCGCUGGGACGUGACUGACGCUGAGACGCGAAAGCGUGGGGAGCAAACAGG